rnacentral:rRNA from 1 species
GUCUAAGUAUAAGCAAUUAUACAGCGAAACUGCGAAUGGCUCAUUAAAUCAGUUAUCGUUUAUUUGAUAGUACCUUACUACAUGGAUAACCGUGGUAAUUCUAGAGCUAAUACAUGCUGAAAACCCCGACUUCGGAAGGGGUGUAUUUAUUAGAUUAAAAACCAAUGCCCUUCGGGGCUCACUGGUGAUUCAUGAUAACUUCUCGAAUCGCACGGCCUUGCGCCGGCGAUGGUUCAUUCAAAUUUCUGCCCUAUCAACUUUCGACGGCUGGGUCUUGGCCAGCCGUGGUGACAACGGGUAACGGAGGGUUAGGGCUCGACCCCGGAGAAAACGCCUGAGAAACGGCGUUUACAUCCAAGGAAGGCAGCAGGCGCGCAAAUUACCCAAUGCCGACACGGCGAGGUAGUGACGAGAAAUACUGAUACAGGGCUCUUUUGGGUCUUGUAAUUGGAAUGAGUACAAUUUAAAUCUCUUAACGAGGAACAAUUGGAGGGCAAGUCUGGUGCCAGCAGCCGCGGUAAUUCCAGCUCCAAUAGCGUAUAUUAAAGUUGUUGCAGUUAAAAAGCUCGUAGUUGAACCUUGGGCCUGGCUGGCCGGUCCGCCUCACCGCGUGCACUGGUCCGGCCGGGCCUUUCCCUCUGGGGAGCCCCAUGCCCUUUACUGGGCGUGGCGGGGAACCAGGACUUUUACUUUGAAAAAAUUAGAGUGUUCAAAGCAGGCCUAUGCUCGAAUACAUUAGCAUGGAAUAAUAGAAUAGGACGUGUGGUUCUAUUUUGUUGGUUUCUAGGACCGCCGUAAUGAUUAAUAGGGACAGUCGGGGGCGUCAGUAUUCAAUUGUCAGAGGUGAAAUUCUUGGAUUUAUUGAAG